rnacentral:rRNA from 1 species
AUGAACGCUGGCGGCGUGCCUAAUACAUGCACGUCGAGCGAACAGACGAGGAGCUUGCUCCUCUGACGUUAGCGGCGGACGGGUGAGUAACACGUGGAUAACCUACCUAUAAGACUGGGAUAACUUCGGGAAACCGGAGCUAAUACCGGAUAAUAUAUUGAACCGCAUGGUUCAAUAGUGAAAGACGGUUUUGCUGUCACUUAUAGAUGGAUCCGCGCCGCAUUAGCUAGUUGGUAAGGUAACGGCUUACCAAGGCGACGAUGCGUAGCCGACCUGAGAGGGUGGUCGGCCACACUGGAACUGAGACACGGUCCAGACUCCUACGGGAGGCAGCAGUAGGGAAUCUUCCGCAAUGGGCGAAAGCCUGACGGAGCAACGCCGCGUGAGUGAUGAAGGUCUUCGGAUCGUAAAACUCUGUUAUUAGGGAAGAACAAAUGUGUAAGUAACUAUGCACGUCUUGACGGUACCUAAUCAGAAAGCCACGGCUAACUACGUG